GACGAACGCUGGCGGCGUGCUUAACACAUGCAAGUCGAACGGAAAGGCCCUGCUUUUGUGGGGUGCUCGAGUGGCGAACGGGUGAGUAACACGUGAGUAACCUGCCCUUGACUUUGGGAUAACUUCAGGAAACUGGGGCUAAUACCGGAUAGGAGCUCCUGCUUCAUGGUGGGGUUUGUAAAGUUUCGGCGGUUGGGGAUGGACUCGCGGCUUAUCAGCUUGUUGGUGGGGUAGUGGCUUACCAAGGCUUUGACGGGUAGCCGGCCUGAGAGGGUGACCGGCCACAUUGGGACUGAGAUACGGCCCAGACUCCUACGGGAGGCAGCAGUGGGGAAUAUUGCAAAAUGGGCGGAAGCAUGAUGCAGCAACGCCGCGUGCGGGAUGACGGCCUUAGGGGUGUAAACCGCUUUCGCCUGUGACGAAGCGUGAGUGACGGUAAUGGGUAAAGAAGCACCGGCUAACUACGUG
rnacentral:rRNA from 1 species